rnacentral:rRNA from 1 species
GCCAGCCUACGGGGGGCAGCAGUGGGGAAUAUUGCACAAUGGGGGAAACCCUGAUGCAGCAACGCCGCGUGAGUGAAGAAGUAUUUCGGUAUGUAAAGCUCUAUCAGCAGGGAAGAAAAUGACGGUACCUGACUAAGAAGCCCCGGCUAACUACGUGCCAGCAGCCGCGGUAAUACGUAGGGGGCAAGCGUUAUCCGGAUUUACUGGGUGUAAAGGGAGCGUAGACGGCGGUGCAAGCCAGAUGUGAAAGCCCGGGGCUCAACCCCGGGACUGCAUUUGGAACUGUGCUGCUAGAGUGUCGGAGG